CAUGUAGGCGGAUUAAUAAGUUUGAAGUGAAAUCCUAUAGCUUAACUAUAGAACUGCUUUGAAAACUGUUAAUCUAGAAUGUGGGAGAGGUAGAUGGAAUUUCUGGUGUAGGGGUAAAAUCCGUAGAGAUCAGAAGGAAUACCGAUUGCGAAGGCGACCUACUGGAACAUUAUUGACGCUGAGAUGCGAAAGCGUGGGGAGCAAACA
rnacentral:rRNA from 1 species